rnacentral:tRNA from 1 species
AGUUAUUUAGCUUAUAUAAAGUGUAUAUUUUGAAAAUAUGAGAAAGAACAAUUUAAUAACUU